CUUCCUGUUUCUUCCUUCCCAACUGUCUUGAUGGAGAUUUUCUCACAAAUGAUAGAUGUGAUGUCAGAUGAAGAACAUUGUACUUAUGGCCAGGAGACUGGAUUUCAAUCAUCACUUUGCUACUUACUGCCUACGUAACCUUGGAAAGUCACUCAAGGAAACUGAAACCCCAGAAUUUAUCCUCAAAAUGUGGAUCAUGGCCAGGCAUGAAGAGGAAAUGGAUCUCAUUUUGGACAAGAUAUACAAAAAAGCCGUUGCACAGGGCCAAAGAAGCACAAAGCUAAACCUAAAUUGUGCCAAAAGAGCACACAGACAAAAAAGAAAAGAAAAGAAAAGAAAAGAAAGAAACCAAUCCAGGAAGGAUUGAUUCACUUCUAAGCCAAUACAAAGGACUUUAACCUAGUGUGAAGACUCGAGAUUGUAAUGCUUAACAGACGUUAAGAUGAAGACCUUCCUUGUAUCCACACUCUUUGUGAAAAUACUUACAGAGGAGUACCUCAAAUUUUGCUCCAACCUGGCUCCUAUAAUCUAGUCCCUGUUCUGUCUUAAAUAAUGUGACAACUUUCUGUAGUCCUGGCUACUGACUGGGUAACUGUAUCAUUGCUUAGGUUAAAUUGGGCCCUUUAAAUUGGGCCCUGAUUCAAGAACCUGUUAUAGAUUUAUUUUUCCUUUACUUGCAACUUUUACACAUAAGACUUUGAUAGUCUAUAUUUCAUCCAGAAAUUAUCUCUUUUUUUAUUUUGGAUUUUUUAAAUGUUUUUUAUUUCUUUUGCCAAUUAAUUCAUAUACCUCAUAACUCAGCCAUGUUUCCCUUAAUGAUCCCUGUGUUUUUCAAUCACCCUAUGGGGGGGGGGGAUGUAUAAUUAUUAUUAUUUUAAAUUGCAAAGUGUAAAUUCCUUUUGAGAGUAAUUUUAGGUUAAGAAACAUGUUACCUCUCCAAAUCCAGAAACUGAGCUGUUUGGAGAAGUCCUUGAUGCCUCCAUAGACCACAAGCUGAGCAUGAGAAGAUCAAGAAUAAACUUUGGGUGUGGUUGAUUGAACA
rnacentral:lncRNA from 1 species